rnacentral:rRNA from 1 species
GACGAACGCUGGCGGCGUGCUUAACACAUGCAAGUCGAACGGAAAGGCCCUGCUUUUGUGGGGUGCUCGAGUGGCGAACGGGUGAGUAACACGUGAGUAACCUGCCCUUGACUUUGGGAUAACUUCAGGAAACUGGGGCUAAUACCGGAUAGGAGCUCCUGCUGCAUGGUGGGGGUUGGAAAGUUUCGGCGGUUGGGGAUGGACUCGCGGCUUAUCAGCUUGUUGGUGGGGUAGUGGCUUACCAAGGCUUUGACGGGUAGCCGGCCUGGGAGGGUGACCGGCCACAUUGGGACUGAGAUACGGCCCAGACUCCUACGGGAGGCAGCAGUGGGGAAUAUGGCACAAUGGGCGGAAGCCUGAUGCAGCAACGCCGCGUGCGGGAUGACGGCCUUCGGGUUGUAAACCGCUUUCGCCUGUGACGAAGCGUGAGUGACGGUAAUGGGUAAAGAAGCACCGGCUAACUACGUG